rnacentral:rRNA from 1 species
CUCAGUAACACGUAGUCAACCUGCCCUGGAGACAUGGACAACCCCGGGAAACUGGGAUUAAUCCGUGAUAGGUCAUCUCAUCUGGAAGGAGAGAUGGCUUAAAGGGGUGCGCGGGCUUCUUCUGCGUAUCCGCUCCAGGAUGGGACUGCGUCCGAUCAGGCUGUUGGCGGGGUAAUGGCCCACCAAACCUGUAACCGGUACGGGCCUUGAGAGAGGUGGCCCGGAGAUGGACACUGAGAGAAGGGUCCAGGUCCUACGGGGCGCAGCAGGCGCGAAACCUUCGCAAUGCGCGAAAGCGUGACGAGGUUAAUCCGAGUGGCCCCCGCUGAGGGGGUCUUUUGUCAGCUGUAAAUAGGCGGGCGAAUAAGGGGAGGGCAAGCCUGGUGUCAGCCGCCGCGGUAAUACCAGCUCCUCGAGUGGUCGGGGCGAUUAUUGGGCCUAAAGCAUCCGUAGCCGGUUCCGUAGGUCCUCUGUUAAAUCCAACCGCUUAACGGUUGACAUGCAGAGGAUACCGCGGGACUAGGAGGCGGGAGAGGCGGACGGUACUCCGCGUGUAGGGGUAAAAUCCUUUGAUCCGCGGAAGA